GAGUUAACAGAUGGCUCUGCGAGACCAGUUACGGCCAUCGCACAAUUUGAUCAGUCGUGAAGUGCAAGUUUUACUACUGUGAAUAACAGCAUCUAGUGCAGUGUCCCUUCAAAAAAUCUUGUCAAAUACCUUUUCAUUCUUAAUUCUGAAUCUAGUUCCAAACAUUUGACUAUAUGUAUUAAUUUCCAUGAUGCCACUGAUGAUGACCUCUUGAGGUCGAAACGCAUAUGGCAAUAGUGUCUAUUAUAGUGUUAAUAGUUGUUGGUUUUGUUUACUCUAUAUUCUAAGGUAGAAGUGUUCACUGUGUGGUGAAAUAAAACUGUGUAUCGGCUGCCGCGAUUGCAAUGUUCGUCGUUGCUUUGCCUUGCAAAGUCGAUACCAUGUUGCUGCACGUGGCAGAACGAACAAUGGCGAGCUCGAACUUGGCGCGCGUCGAGCCAAAUCGGAACAGUUCUUUGUCCCGCGGCAAAGGGAUUUCAGUGUGCUGUGCUCUCUCAGUUGAGACGGUCUUGUGGCGUUCCGUCGUAGCAAAAUGAAGAAUGAAAAGUGUGUAGCUCUCAUACAGAUUUAUAAAUCUAAAGAGGUGAUGUGGAAUUCAAAAGUUGUUAAUUACCAUAACAAAAGUAAACGCGAGGACGCAUGGAAGGACAUAGGUGACCAAAUGAAAAUGCCAGUUCAGGAUUUAAAAAAGAUGACAACUUUAUUGGCUUCAUACAGAAGAGAAAAGUUCCGAAUUAAGAUGUCUCACAUAACUGGUUCUGGUACAAUACCUUACUCCACCAACGCAUUUUUCGUUUCUUAUUUUCUUCGAUAAUGUUGAACAUCGACAUAAAGGCAGUCGCUGCACGUGCUGUGUCACGUGACCUGCGUGCAGCUUGUCAGAGAAGCAGUGGAGUAUGUGCGGCAACAGUUGGCUGACUGACUUGAUAUCAGAACAGGAAACCUGCUGGGAGCAUGGAGGAACUCAUGUCCACAAGAGAUUCAUCCCUGUCUUUAAUUGGCAUUCGUUGUGAGUAGCAGAUUACAAGAAACAGAAUGAUCCUCUAGAUUCUACAGAGCGGCAAGCUGUGUGUCACCUGACCUGCGUACUGCUUGCCGUGCGCAAUCAGUUGUCAGACUGACUUGAUAUCAGAACAGGAAACCUGCUGGGAGCAUGAAGGAACCUGGUGUCUGCAAGAGAUUCAUCUCUGUCUGAACUUGGCAUGCGUUGUGCUGAUGAUGGAGGCAGCAAGGACCUCAGAAAUGCCUGUAACGUCUACAAGACUACAUCUCAGAAGGCAGCCAUCUUCAGGCCCAUUACCAUGAAAACCUGAAAUCCUGAAAGUGAGUAGCAAGUUACCAUGGCGUUGUUUUAUGCUGGAGCACGCGCUUAAA